GUGAGUUUUGUGCAAUAGUACGUGAAACGAGAGGAUAGCUCGCUAAACCGGCCUGUUCUCUUCUCGUCUUGUAGUAACGUCUCCUACUUCUUGUGUAGAACAACUAUCCUUUUGAUUAUCAUAUAUACGCGAGUGUGCUUAGAGUGCUUCUUAACUAGUAAGAACUUGAUGUUUGUUUUUCUCGUCUUGUUCUUUUCCGAGUGUAGGCGCGUCUAGCUGCCGCGCCUCCUAUACCGGUACCGGCUGGUGGGAGACGUCGCUGUGGGAGGCCGGCCGUGCGCGUGUCUCAGAGUAGCAACGUCGGGCGACGCCCUGUCCUCCGUCACCGCGCGUAGCCGCGUUGCUGCGAGGGGAGCCGGACCGAGGAGAGCCGUGCUUGCGGAUUUUGUCGGUAUUCUCUUUAGCUAGUCCUUUGUGAUUAAGGUAAAUCAUUAAUUCAUAAACAAAAGAAGGUCACUAGAGCUUUAAUUGACGUAAAAGACGUGGUGUAUCACGUAGCGAAGUAGGCUCGUACACUCGUACCGCUCUACUUAUCCACCGACUUCGUAGUUGGCCUUCUUUAGGAACUAGUCCUUCUCUUUCGAAGUUAGUUCUUGCAUAGUAGGUCAGUACGUUUCCCUUCUUCUUCCAUGGUACAGAAAAAGAUUAAAGAACUUGACCUUGAUCGCCGGUGACGACGAGUGGCAGAGCGGCAGAGCGGUAGUGACAUCGCCGUUGUUGGAGCAGCUCCUGCCAGCGUCUUCGUAGUCAGGAGGCCCGCGCCGCCUGUGGUGUCGGUGCUGUGCGGCGAGGAGGCUCGCCCGGAGCCGGGCCGAGAGGUGUCUCGUCGGCGUAGUGCGCCACCUCCACCGGGCGCGAGUUCAGGCUCGUUGCCGCCACAGGAGCGCAUGCUCCAAACCACCGCGGACCUAGGAGAGGGACCGGGCCGCUCGGGAGCACAGGCGGCGGCUGCCGCCAUUAAAAGGGGAGUCCUUGGCGUGCUCUUCUUCUAACCUCGUUGGAAUAGGUAAGACCGCUAAAAGCCAAACCAAGAGGUUGAAGGAUCAUAAGUGUAUAAUCAUAGAUAUCAUGUAGAAGUCCGGUGUCUGAUAUGACAUGAAAUGCAGACACGUUGACCCUAAAGACUUUAUUAAAAAGUCCGGCAUUGUUGAUGUCUAAUGGGUUGUCUGAAAGAAGAACCUAGGAGUCUAGAUUAAUAAUACCUCA
rnacentral:rRNA from 1 species